CAAGUCGAGCGAGAAAUCCAGCGCUUGCGCUGGAAAGAAAGCGGCGAACGGGUGAGUAAUACGUUGGAAUUUGCCCCUAGGUCAGGGAUAGCCCACUGAAAAGUGGAUUAAUACCGGAUAGUCUCUUCGGAGUAAAAAUUUAUUGCCUAGGGAGGAGCCUUCGUUCUAUCAGCUUGUUGGUGAGGUAAUGGCUCACCAAGGCUAUGACGGAUAACUGGUCUGAGAGGAUGAUCAGUCACAAUGGAACUGAGACACGGUCCAUACUCC
rnacentral:rRNA from 1 species